CAGCAGAGUUCAAUACACAGACCAUAAACUUUCCCUUUAUUCAACAUGCUCUCAUUAAACUAUAAUCUACUGUCUCUACUGUUUGUCUCUACUCUAACAGGUGUCAGCUGUGAACAACUGACUCCAGUCAAGGAUGAAGAGUUCGGUUCAGAAGGCAGCUCUGUUACUCUGUCCUACACAUACUCCAAAAAAGCUGAUGCCACUGAUUAUUUCUUCUGGUAUCAACAACAUCCAGGAAAACCACCACAGCUCCUCAUCUCUCACACAGGGAAAGGAGAAAUCUUAAAUCCAGGCUCUGGACUGACGGUUACUGUGAGUCGGGAUCAAACCCAAAUGGAUCUGCAGAUCUCCUCUGCUGCAGUGACAGACUCUGCUGUGUACUACUGUGCUGUGAGGCCCACAGUGACAGGAAACAGCACAACUCUGUACAAAAACACAAGCUGA